GUGGGUGUGUGCGUGCUUGUGGGUUCCCGUCGGCCGGGCUCGGCUGUGGCCUGAGGGGCUGCCUCCUGACCAGCUAGUCGCACGGCGUGUUCAUAAUGGACUGGGUUGCCUGUGUUUCGGAGCCUAACAGGAGCGUCUGGAUUCCAGUCCCAUCGGGCCGCAUGGCAGUCACCCAGCAGUUCCAGGAGCCCUGGGCUGCAGGUGAAGACGAGCGGUUGUAAACUGAGCCCACACAGAUGGAAGGGGGAGUUCCCUUUGGGGGAAACCUGCAAGCCGGAGCUGCAGGCUGCUUCCUCAGCCCAGAGAAGAGGAUUUGUUUCUGUAAGGCCUCCUUCCCCAUGUUCACCCCGCCUACCUCCUUCAGUGAUUCUGACUAAAAUAGGGGAAAAGUGAAGGGGGAUAGGUCUCUGGAGAGUCCUGG
ensembl:lncRNA